GCUAUUCCACCGACAACCCCUCUUCUAUUUUUCCUCUUCGCUACCACUACAGCGUGUGUUUUCCAGGUUGUUUCUGUCCUGCCAUGUCUUGCUCUCUGAUCUUAAGGGGUUUUCUUCCAUCUUUUUGCUUAAUUACAACAAUCGGAAUUCCAGAACACAAGAUUCACCAAAUCAAACUGCAUACGAAAUCAAGAAAUCAACUAAUUUCACUAACCUUAGGACCAAAUUCACAAAUGGGUUUCACUAUUUUACCUCUAGAAUCUCAAAUCGUGUAGAGGGGUUUAAAGUUGCAGCUAGCCAAGAGCUUUAAUUUGAUGUUCAGGUUAGUUAUGCUUUGCACAUUCCUUUUAAUUCAUGGCCUAGGGAUUGUUCUUUGUUUAUUGUCUUCGGUUUUUUUUUUGUUUCUUAUUUGCAAAUUGAUGUGUGUUUUCAGUUGUUGGAUUUCACAUGUGUUGCUCUAAUGUCAGUUUAUAAGUGAAUGAACUUAAUGCAUAAAUGGUUACCUUUUGUAUUUGAAUGUCAGUUAUAUAUCUAUACAAGUUAUAAUAUUCAGUUGUUGCUUAUAUUUCUUUAUAAUAUGGUAUUGGUUAAUGUUUUCAAAAGUGUUGUAUAACAGCUUGGUUCAAGAUGCUUAUAAUUACUUGAUUAUACAAAUGAUUGCUUUCGUGUGUCCGAAGCCGCAUGUCAAGUUGCAACUUUAGGCUAUGUGAACUUAAUUUCAUAAGAAGUUUUAUAGUGAAGCCGGAGCUUUGUGUUAAAGAAAAAAAAGAACAACUUGGUUUAUACAUGUUCAUAUUCCUUCAAAAGAAUAACGUGAGCGUGACAAUUGUGAACCAGUAUAUAUUCGCUAGUUCUUACCACCCCUGUUUUAGUUGAGCAUCAUAGUUUUUUUCCACUUUUGGGAUAUAUUUGAAUUGAGUCGUUACUUAAGAAAAUCUUUAUCCAUUCCUUUGUAAAACGAGCCUUUUGUUUUGAAGAAAUUUUAUUAUUAUGGUACGUUGUGUGCAUUAGCCUUUUCGAUGAACAACAUGAGCAUAAGCAUUUACUGUAUUUUGAGCCAUUAUAAUAUUAUUUUGAGCAUAAUGCUUGCUUUUUGUCACAUAACCUACAUGAAAAUGUUUAUAUCACACAUAUUUUAUGUGAGAUAAAAACCAUAUUUUCAUAAAAAAAUGGCUUUAGGAAAGAGGGGGAUGUUUAGUUGGAUUCUUGGGCUUGGAUUGCUGGACCCUUAUGUUUAAACAUUUUUUGCCCACAAAUAAUAAUUUAUUGGUUAAUUUUGUUCUUUUAAUUAGAUUACUUAAUGAAAAUAAUAACGUCUCAUUUUCAUAUUUGGAUGUAACUUUUAAAGUUUCUGAUAAUGUAACUUAAAAAUACUUUUAUAAACUUCUAAUAAGAAAGAUAAUCAAGGUUCAUUUGAAUCUAAUAAAGUGUAAGGAUGGGUAGAACAUGGCAAAAUACAUGUUUUGCUUUCUAAUGGUUACUGAUAAAAAAAACAAUAAGUUAGGUGAAACUCAUAAUCCAGUCACUAAUACAUUGGUUGAAUCUUUGUGUUUCUUUUCGUCAUUUUAUAGUUAUCUUAUGAUUUUGGGCAUAAAGAUCUACUGAAUGCUUUUUAGUAAUGACUUUUACUUUAAUGUUUCAGCUUUUUUUUGGCUGGGGCCAUCCGCCCACGUUAGUCUAAUAUGUUUUGUGUUUGCUUUGUUGUUCCUUUUAGUUGUGUGGUUGCUAUUAUGUUAGUUUAUUAGGAAAUUUUUUGGUUAACUAUGUCUACUUCUCGAAAAGGGGUCGUAUUACUUAAUGAAUCUAUUCAUUUUUCUAAUGUGUCCACUUCAGUAGGUAGACAACAAUCUUUUGUGUCAUGUAGCAAUGAAGUUUUCCUAAUUCUAUGUAUAUAGAUAACGCUAAUUGUAUUAGCAUAUGCGAACAUUGCGAUGCCUUAUUUGGGUACUAUGAGCUGUCAAUUCGAUGUAUUCUAUCGUUGUUGUAAAUAUGGACGUGUCAAACUUAAGUCUCCUGUCAUUCCUUCAUAGUCAUUGUUACAUCUAUUUGAUCAAUCCGCUUUUCUUGCUAAUAUAUGUGCUUAUAACAACAUGAUUUCAUUAACAUCUUUUGGUGGCAAAGUCGACGAGUCUAUCAACAUUGGCUCUGCUCAUUACGUUUUCAAAAUUGAAGGCCAGGUUUACCAUUGGCCUGGUUCUUUUUAUCCAACACUGAAUGAAUGUCCUCGCUUAUUGCAAAUGUCUGUGUAUGAUACCGAGAAUGAGGUUUCUAAUAAACUACGCGUAUUCGCAAACGAUAAUUGGCGAUUGAAUUCUGGCAUUUUCACUUUGCUUACUCAAAUCCUUGAGAGUUGUAACGUCCUUGUCAAACAAUGGAACAAAUGCUAGAAAGAUCUUGCUACGACUUGGUAGUCAAGGAUGGAUAUACAUAUUCAAAAACCAUGCCUGCAGAUAUCUAUAAUAUAAGGAGAAAAGCUACACAUUUGGACACUUCAAUGAAAUAAGACGACUCAAUGGCAGUGCAGAAACCUAGAGUACCACUGAUUAUAAUCCCGACGACCCCAGAUCCAAAAAACAGCAACAACCGAAAGAAGAACACCGGUAUCGCCAGACAAUGAGACAACGGGAAACAAGCAAAGAAGUAAAAGGAUAGCAGGAAAGGCAACAUUUUGACAAGCCAAAAAACCGAAGAUGCAUCCAUGCUGAUUUUCCAGGUGCAAAAAAGGCUAAAAAAGCUAGCAGCCUUCACAAAAUCCAUCCCUUUUGCAACACACAUAGAGCAACAGUUGGCCACCGACACCCACCUCUUCCCAGAGGUACCGGGUUCGAGUCUUGGGAGUGGCAUAUGUCGCCCAGGGUAAGAAUUCGGCAUGGGGAAGUCACCGCGGAGCUAACUUGGUCGGGUAGCGGCUCCCGGAGUGAGAUCACUCCGGCGGUUGGGAGGACUGUGCACUAUCCCCCCCCCCCAUAUAGAGCAACAGGAAAUGCUCCACAUUCGUAUGCAACAACCCAAAAAAUUUUUGGCAUCAACAACAAAAUUAGGAAGACAAAGAUAUUAACAUCUGAAGGAACGAAGAUCUUUUGGCUAAAACUGGUAAAGCAGCAACUCGCAAGGACAUCAACUUUUGAAGAAAAAAACCAUACUACUCUUAUCUAAAUUGUAAUUUGAAUCCUAAUGUAACUAGAGAUGACCAAUAAGAUAACCCCAUUCAUGGAUGGAAUAUCUAUAAGACUAUUAUUCUCAUUUAAGCUAUAGUUUGAAUGUUAAUGCAACCUAUAAUCACUA